rnacentral:snoRNA from 1 species
CUGCAACCAAUUAAGCCGACCAACCCAAUUCUGUGUGGGGCUGGUGUGCAAUGGUUGCGGACAGUAUUUCCCUGGUUGUGUGUGUACCUUGUCCUUAAUACAGGGUAUUCUAAGGGACCUCGGAGACACUU